UACGGGGGGGGUAAGCGUUGUUCGGAAUUACUGGGCGUAAAGGGCUCGUAGGCGGCCAACUAAGUCAGACGUGAAAUCCCUCAGCUUAACUGGGGAACUGCGUCUGAUACUGGAUGGCUUGGAUUUGGGAGAGGGAUGCGGAAUUCCAGGUGUAGCGGUGAAAUGCGUAGAUAUCUGGAGGAACACCGGUGGCGAAGGCGGCAUCCUGGACCAAUAUUGACACUGAGACCCGAAAGCGUGGGGAUCAAACAGG
rnacentral:rRNA from 1 species